GCCGACAAGGCCGUACAAUCUUUCACGUACACGAGAUAUGUCUACAAGCCUCUAAGAGUACAUAAAUAUCAUAAAGGUCGGGACAGAGUCUCGCCAUACCAAACAAUGCACGUCUAAAUCAUACUAAUCAAACACGCAACUCCGAAGCACAUGGAGCGCACCAACAUCUUCCGCUGAGCUGAUAGCCUACUUGGAGGGCUCUCAACCUAUCUAUCUGGACCUGCGGGCAUGAAACACAGCGUCCCCAGGCAAAAGGGACGUCAGUACGAAAAAUGUACCGAGUAUGUAAGGCACAUAAACAAGCACAUAACAGACAUGGAAGAAAAAGGGGGUACAUGACUCAACCUGUAAGUCUGAAUAACCUUGUAAAUCAUGAAAUAAUUAUAGUAUCAUGCAUAUGCGUAUGAAUGUCAUGUCGUGCAUAGGUACAUAUUUCAUAACAUCAUCAGCCUCUGAGGGCAUCCCAUCAUAUCAUAUCGGCUACUGUGAGCAAAAUCAUCGUCGUAUACCAGCUGAUCAGGUGGUGGUGCAUAUAUAACGCCGUAACCUUUUUCCAUAUCUCAUAUACAUACAUAUAUACGCGUAUAUAGUGUCGUUUGAAUCAUAUUUCAGCCCCUGUGGGCAACAUCAUUAUCAUAUACCAGCUGAUCAGGUGGUGGUGCGUAUAUAACGCCGUAACCUUUUUCCCGUGUCCCAUAUAAAUAUAAUAUACAUAUAUACGCGUAUAUAACGCCAUCUGGUCAUGGGUCAAUGCAUAUGUACGAAAUGCAUGAAAAAUACGUAAUAAUCUCAAUAUUUCUUCCGGAUAAAUUUUUCCAACUGCAUAUUAUUUUGAGACCCAUGAACGGAUAAUAAUAAUAAUUUUCAUGGGGAAUCAAGAAUAUAGACACCCCUAAUAUUUCUAUGAAUAGAGUAAUUUAUGGAAACUAUGUGUUUGCUCGUUUCCUUAGUAUCAUAUAGACCAUGCCAAAAGAAAGAAGGGAGGGCCUUAACAUACCUGGAGUAGGAAAAACUCUGUAUAAUAUCCCGUUGGAGAACCUUUAUUAAAAUAUUGGAUGAAACCGCUUCUGCUCUUUUGAACCUAAUGAACGAAAUAGGCUUCCUCUAGUUGAAGAAUUGAAAUUGGAUGAAAUUUUUCUAAAGAACGUCUGUCUUCUACGUUUCCUUGAUACAAAUUGGUUUUUGAAUUCCAAUCUUAAGGAAGGAAUCUUUCUUGCACUCUUUUGGGAGGGGGUAACGUUAUUUUCUUGAUAUGCAUGACUUUUUCUUUGUCAAUUUGGUCUUUAAAAAUUUCACUUUGUAAAAUGAAUUACACCCCACGUUAG
rnacentral:lncRNA from 1 species